UGGUGAAAUGAUGGCAUCAUCUUUCGGGACUGACAUUCAUCAUGGAGAUGUCUUUUAUAUGUACUGAUCACAC